UACGUAGGGGGCAAGCGUUGUCCGGAUUUACUGGGUGUAAAGGGCGCGCAGGCGGGAUAGCAAGUCAGAGGUGAAAUCCUACAGCUUAACUGUAGAACUGCCUUUGAUACUGUUAUUCUUGAGUUCGGGAGAGAGAGACGGAAUUCUAGGUGUAGUGGUGAAAUACGUAGAUAUCUGGAAGAACACCAGUUGCGAAGGCGGUCUCUUGGUCCGAUACUGACGCUGAGGCGCGAAAGCGUGGGGAGCAAACAGG
rnacentral:rRNA from 1 species